rnacentral:rRNA from 1 species
AUUGAACGCUGGCGGCAUGCCUUACACAUGCAAGUCGAACGGUAACAGGUCUUCGGAUGCUGACGAGUGGCGAACGGGUGAGUAAUACAUCGGAACGUGCCCGAUCGUGGGGGAUAACGAAGCGAAAGCUUUGCUAAUACCGUAUACGAUCUACGGAUGAAAGCAGGGGACCGCAAGGCCUUGCGCGAACGGUGCGGCCGAUGGCCGAUUAGGUAGUUGGUGGGAUAGAAGCUUACCAAGCCGACGAUCUGUAGCUGGUCUGAGAGGACGACCAGCCACACUGGGACUGAGACACGGCCCAGACUCCUACGGGAGGCAGCAGUGGGGAAUUUUGGACAAUGGGCGAAAGCCUGAUCCAGCCAUGCCGCGUGCAGGAUGAAGGCCUUCGGGUUGUAAACUGCUUUUGUACGGAACGAAAAGACUCUGGUUAAUACCUGGGGUCCAUGACGGUACCGUAAGAAUAAGCACCGGCUAACUACGUGCCAGCAGCCGCAGUAACAC